rnacentral:rRNA from 1 species
AGUGAACGCUGGCGGUAGGCCUAACACAUGCAAGUCGAACGGCAGCACAGUAAGAGCUUGCUCUUACGGGUGGCGAGUGGCGGACGGGUGAGGAAUACAUCGGAAUCUACUUUUUCGUGGGGGAUAACGUAGGGAAACUUACGCUAAUACCGCAUACGACCUACGGGUGAAAGCAGGGGAUCUUCGGACCUUGCGCGAUUGAUGAGCCGAUGUCGGAUUAGCUAGUUGGCGGGGUAAAGGCCCACCAAGGCGACGAUCCGUAGCUGGUCUGAGAGGAUGAUCGGCCACACUGGAACUGAGACACGGUCCAGACUCCUACGGGAGGCAGCAGUGGGGAAUAUUGGACAAUGGGCGCAAGCCUGAUCCAGCCAUACCGCGUGGGUGAAGAAGGCCUUCGGGUUGUAAAGCCCUUUUGUUGGGAAAGAAAAGCAGCGGGUUAAUACCCCGCUGUUCUGACGGUACCCAAAGAAUAAGCACCGGCUAACUUCGUG